ACUCGUGGAUGAUGAGAAUUAUGAAUUAUACAGUUAUCCCUGUCUGACUUAUUUCUGCUGAUAUUUCUAAACUCUGACACCACU
rfam:Citrus sinensis cultivar Ridge Pineapple sweet orange scaffold00002_contig_502, whole genome shotgun sequence.